AAGGUGUUAGUAAAAUUAUUACAUAACUUUGUCAUAGUUAAAUCAUAGACUUAACUCUAUACACCUUG
rnacentral:tRNA from 1 species